rnacentral:rRNA from 1 species
GAGCAGGAUGAAGCGAAAGUAAAAUUUCGUGGAGGUCCGAACCCACGAGCGUUGAAAAGCUCGGGGAUGACUUGUGGGUAGCGGUGAAAUUCCAAUCGAGCCCGGAGAUAGCUGGUUCUCCCCGAAAUAGCUUUAGGGCUAGCCUCAAGGUGAGAGAUACGGAGGUAGAGCACUGAAUGUCCUAGGGGGUAUUGCACCUACCGAAGACUAUCAAACUCCGAAUGCCGUCAUCUUAUACUUGGGAGUCAGACUGUGGGUGAUAAGAUUCAUAGUCGAAAGGGCAACAGCCCAGAUCGUCAGCUAAGGUCCCUAAAUGUAAGUUAAGUGGUAAAGGAUGUGGGAUUGCACAGACAACCAGGAUGUUGGCUUAGAAGCAGCCACUCAUUCAAAGAGUGCGUAAUAGCUCACUGUCGAGUGAUCCUGCGCCGAAGAUUUCCGGGGCUAAAACUUACUACCGAAGCUACGGCAUCAGUAAUGAUGGGUAGGGGAGCUUCCCAUACGGGUUGAAGCAUGACCGUAAGGACAUGUGGACAGUAUGGGAGUGAGAAUGUUGGCAUGAGUAGCGAGAUGUGGGUGAGAAUCCCACAGGCCGUAAACCCAAGGUUUCCAGGGGAAGGUUCGUCCGCCCUGGGUUAGUCGGGACCUAAGCUGAGGCCGAAAGGC